rnacentral:rRNA from 1 species
AACGUAGGAGACAAACGUUAUCCGGAGUUACUGGGCGUAAAGGGCGUGUAGGUGGUUGUGUAAGUUCGGCGUGAAAUCUCUCGGCUUAACCGGGAGUGGUCGUCGGAUACUGCACGACUAGAGGACGGUAGAGGCGUGUGGAAUUCCGGGUGUAGUGGUGAAAUGCGUAGAGAUCCGGAGGAACACCAGUGGUGAAGGCGGUCCGCUGGGGUGUUGCUGACGCUGAGGCGGCGACAGCGUGGGGAGCAAACAGGAUUGAGAAACC